UUUAUGGAGAGUUUGAUCCUGGCUCAGGAUGAACGCUGGCGGCGUGCCUAAUACAUGCAAGUCGAGCGAACAGACGAGGAGCUUGCUCCUUUGACGUUAGCGGCGGACGGGUGAGUAACACGUGGGUAACCUACCUAUAAGACUGGGAUAACUUCGGGAAACCGGAGCUAAUACCGGAUAAUAUUUCGAACCGCAUGGUUCGAUAGUGAAAGAUGGCUUUGCUAUCACUUAUAGAUGGACCUGCGCCGUAUUAGCUAGUUGGUAAGGUAACGGCUUACCAAGGCAACGAUACGUAGCCGACCUGAGAGGGUGAUCGGCCACACUGGAACUGAGACACGGUCCAGACUCCUACGGGAGGCAGCAGUAGGGAAUCUUCCGCAAUGGGCGAAAGCCUGACGGAGCAACGCCGCGUGAGUGAUGAAGGUCUUCGGAUCGUAAAACUCUGUUAUUAGGGAAGAACAAACGUGUAAGUAACUGUGCACGUCUUGACGGUACCUAAUCAGAAAGCCACGGCUAACUACGUGCCAGCAGCCGCGGUAAUACGUAGGUGGCAAGCGUUAUCCGGAAUUAUUGGGCGUAAAGCGCGCGUAGGCGGUUUUUUAAGUCUGAUGUGAAAGCCCACGGCUCAACCGUGGAGGGUCAUUGGAAACUGGAAAACUUGAGUGCAGAAGAGGAAAGUGGAAUUCCAUGUGUAGCGGUGAAAUGCGCAGAGAUAUGGAGGAACACCAGUGGCGAAGGCGACUUUCUGGUCUGUAACUGACGCUGAUGUGCGAAAGCGUGGGGAUCAAACAGGAUUAGAUACCCUGGUAGUCCACGCCGUAAACGAUGAGUGCUAAGUGUUAGGGGGUUUCCGCCCCUUAGUGCUGCAGCU
rnacentral:rRNA from 1 species